AACGAACGCUGGCGGCAGGCUUAACACAUGCAAGUCGAGCGCCCCGCAAGGGGAGCGGCAGACGGGUGAGUAACGCGUGGGAAUCUACCAUCUCUACGGAAUAACGCAUGGAAACGUGUGCUAAUACCGUAUACGUCCUUCGGGAGAAAGAUUUAUCGGAGAUGGAUGAGCCCGCGUUGGAUUAGCUAGUUGGUGGGGUAAAGGCCUACCAAGGCGACGAUCCAUAGCUGGUCUGAGAGGAUGAUCAGCCACACUGGGACUGAGACACGGCCCAGACUCCUACGGGAGGCAGCAGUGGGGAAUAUUGGACAAUGGGCGCAAGCCUGAUCCAGCCAUGCCGAGUGAGUGAUGAAGGCCCUAGGGUUGUAAAGCUCUUUCACCGGUGAAGAUAAUGACGGUAACCGGAGAAGAAGCCCCGGCUAACUUCGUGCCAGCCGCCGCAGUAACAC
rnacentral:rRNA from 1 species